GUGAAAAAGAUUGAUCAUCAGAUGUUUCUUAUGAAUCAACCUGAUAUUUAAAUCCAUGAAGGGGAGAGAUGACAAAGCCAGGUGGAAUAGAUAGAGAAGAGGUCCAAGGUCUGAGCCCUACAUUACUCAGAGUGUUAGAGAUUAGGAAGAAGAGGAAGACCUGGCAAAAGAAUGUCCUGCGAUGUAGAAAGAAAACCAGAAGUUUGUGGUCUCUGGAAACCAAAUAAAGAAAGGGCUUCCAGAAGGACAGACAAAGUGUAGUGUAUCAAAGCUCCUGAGCAAUCAGAGGAGAGCACUGAGGGGCUCACAGGACAUUGGUAUCCAGAUCACCCAGUGACACUUCCUGAUCAUGAGAAACUGUCAGACCAACAGGGGCACUUUCUGUAACCAGCGGUUCUUCAUUGCCCAAAUGCAACCUUGAUGGUUUGAUUUUGGAGGAUGGCAAUUCAUUAAUAGCACUCUGCAGUGAUAAAUAUGAAAACCAAUAAAACUCCCCACCCAAGGCAACCUCUCCCAGCUCCUCACUUUGAGUGAAGUGAGUAACGUCAUUUCUGCCAACUCCUGUCUUGUCUGAAGCCACAUUUCCCCAGCAAUGUCACAUAUGCAUUUCUUGAUCCUGGUCAUUUCUCCUCUUGGAAGAUGAAUCAUAAAGAAAACGAGAUCUGUGUGCCCUGGUGACUAUGGAUGAAAGAGUCUGCUGCCCUGGAGGGAAGAGCUGGAAAAGAAGGAGAUGGAGAAGCAGUCCUAGGGCAGCCUCCAGGCCAGCUUUCCCUAAUAAGAAGGCAGAGCUCCUCUUCACCCAGACUUCCGACCUAUAGAGCCAGGGAGGCAUGCUUUCUAUCUGCUGCUGGUACUCCCAGACCAAGCUGUUGCAUGUGGGACUGAAGUGUGACUUCUGCCUCAGUUUCGUCCACCUGUGCAGGGAAGAGAAAAAUGCCUGCACCUCCAUGGUCAUACCCUCUGUUGGAUCCACCUCCUUAAGCCAGAAUUAUUGAAUGUUCUCUAUGUGCCAGAAUGAUUAUUAUUUCAUUUGAUUCUCACAAUAAUGCCGUGAAGUCUAUACAGACAUCCCUUGGAAAUAUAGUGGGUUUGGUUCCAGACCACUGCAAUAAAGCUAAUAUCGCAAUAAAACGGGUCGCACGAAGUUUUUGGAUUAGGCUUUGGCUUAAGGGAAUUUUGUGGCUGGUUUGAUCUUUUAUCCAGACCGCUAACACUUUCUCCCUAUCA
rnacentral:lncRNA from 1 species